UGCGCCCUCCUGGACGGCCUGCAGCGCGGCCGGCCCCGCCUGGCCAUCGGCAAGGGCCGCAGGGGGCGCGACGAGGAGGGGUCACCCCCGCCGGCCAGCGACCCCGGGUCUGCCCCGGACCCCGCCGCCGGGCAGUGCGGGGCGGCCUGUAAGGAGCGCUGUGGAUAAACCCCCUCCGCCCGGGCUUCGGUGUGCGGUUGGGAGGGGGACGGACAGGACGGGUUACCCGUGACCCCAUAGAAGAUGAGGCCGGGAUCCCUGGGUCUGAGGGAGGAGGGGCUGGGGGCUGGAACCCUUGGGUCUGAGGGAGGAGGGUUGGGGGGUUGGAGAAGGAGGAACUGGGGCCAGGACUCCAGGAUCUGAGGAAAGAGGGGCUGGAGACCAAAACUCUUGUUCUGGAAGAAAGAGAACUGAGCAACUUUCCAAGCCAGAGCCGGUAGUAUUGGGCUGCUUGCCUAGUACGCUGCCAGGUUCUGGGCAUGCGCAGGAGAGCCCUAACCCUUCUUUAGGACCUACUAUGUGUCAUGUUUGCCGGUAGUGGGAUAAGCAAAACAGCUUCACUCGAUGGGCUCUCUCAUUUACGGUAAUCGGGAUGCUUCUCUUUGAGUGCUGUAUUUGCCGCGGAUGCUGCUCCGUCUGAUUGCACCCACACCGCAGUCUCCCUGGUCGUAGCCUGAGACUCGGUCACUGGACUGAGGUUGCCUAGCUGGAGUUUGUCCCUCCACACCAGGCGAUGGGUGGGUGGUUAGAUUCCGCCUGGGGUUCAGCACUACCCUAUUGAAAUAUAAUUUGAGUCAUAUGUGUAAUUUUAAGUUUUCUAAGAGCCAUAUUUUUUAAAGGAGGGGGAACAAGUGAACUUUUAAUAAUGUAUUUUAUUUGACCCAAAUAAAUAUAUUUGACCUAAAUAUCCCAGAUAUUACAAUUUUAACAUGUUUUUGAAAACUAUGUGAUAUUUUACGGUCUUUUUUUUUUUUUUUUGUAUUAAGCCUUUGAAAUACAGUAUGUAUGUUAUACUUAACAGCCCAUCUCCUUUCCGAUGCAACCGCUGUUCAGACCUCACAGGGGACCUGAGGGCCCCACGGGGGAACUGGGAAGAUGCUGUCCUAGGCUUUGGCCACAAGAGGUCACUGUACCCACACCUGUGCCUCGGGUGACCACGGUUGACCAAGGUCUCUCUGCUGCCUGGGUGGGAGCUCGGCUCCCUGCUGUCACCUCCUCCCUGGUCUUCCUGGUCUGAGCCAGGCGCCAAGGGCGAGCGGCACAGUCUGGCAGAAAGAUGAAGGCCCCGUUGGAAACCUUCCUUGACCUCAAGACCUGUGUGUUCAAGCAUUCAUUCAUUCCGCAAAUAUUUACUGAGCACUUCAUCUGUGACAGCAGUGAACACACGCCCGCCCGAAUGGGAGAGGCCAAAAAGGAAAGGAGAAAAAUAAGUUGAAUAUACAGUAUGUCAGGUGGUAAUAAAUCAGGGGAUGGAAACAGGCCAACAUGCAAGGAGGUGUCGUGUAAGCCCUGACGGUCGGGUUUUCUCUUUUUUGUGAUGCAAGCGCCUGACUUGAGCUUUGCUUGCCAAGGCACCCACUUCAAAGAGGCUAUCGCAGUAACCAGAUGGCCAGCCACACGACUACAUAAAAGCCAGGCCGCCUUCCCCUCCCCCAGGCUCCUUUGUUUCAGAGAUCUUAAUGGAUUUCCAUAAAUCAAAAUCACCCUGCAGCUUUUUUUUCCUCUUCCCACACUUUCAAUUCCCCACUCUUGUUUUAAAUUCACAAAGAGUGAGCCCGUGGAACCCUAGGUACCCCCCCGGACCCCCAUAAAAGCAGAAGCCCAGAGACCCGUGCACCCACCCUCCACUGUGACCUCUCUGUAUGGCCCCCAAUUCAAAAAAAAAAAAAAACUUUAUAUUUUUUUAAAGUUUCCUGAUGGUUACUUUUGAGGGCAUCUUGCAAUCAUGAGAACCACAAGGGCCGGUCCAGACACAACGAUCAUCUGGGACACACACAAAACAGUGGGGUAGAUAGAAUUGAGCAAAGACCUGUCCAAGGUGAGGCAGCGAGCUCUGCAGAUUGGUGGGAAGAGCGUUGCCGGCAGAGGAACAGAGAGUGCAAACUGAGGCAGGACAGUGGUGGAGGGGGGAGUGGAGGAGAGAGCUAAGAGGGACCAGAUGGUGUAGGCUCAGUUUCAGUUUUGAGACGGAAGUCAUAGAGAGUUCUGAGCAGAGGAGUGAUAAGGAUCAUCCCUUUAUUCACGCAGCAAACAUUUACUGGUGCCUCCCAGGAGCCAGGCCCUGUGCGGAGCCGUGGGGAAACAGCUGAGUCAGCCCCAGUCCCUGCCCUCAGCGGGCUCCCCUUCUGGUGGGGAAGGCAGGCAUGGACACGGAUACGUGCCACAGUGGGAAGUUAGCAAGGACACGGAGCCCAGGGGUGGGGUGCCCAGCUCACACGGGGCGUCAUAGAAUGCCUUAAGAAGGAGGUAGUGUUUCAACCAGGCUCCAAAGGUGAGUAAGAAUGAGCACGAGAUGGGGCGCCUGGGUGGCUCAGUCGGUUAAGUGUCUGCCUUUGGCUCAGGUCAUGAUCCCAGGGUCCUGGGACUGAGUCCCACAUUGGGCUCCCUGCUCAGCGGGGAGUCUGCUUCCCCCUCCGUCCCUCCCCCUGCUCCUUCUUGCUCUCUCUCAAAUAAAUAAAAUCUUAAAAAAAAAAAAAAAAGAAAGAAAGAAAGAUUGAGCACAAGAAAGCGGUGGGAGGGAGACGAGGCUGACAGAACAGCAGGUGCAGAGGUCUGCAGGUCAGGAAGCACCCGGAACCUGGGUGGAAUGGCAGCUCCCAGGGCAGGAUGGCUGGGGAGAAGUUAGUCCAGGUGGCUGGGCCCCUGAGAAGACUGAAAAGCCGCCGCAUCCUGAGGGCUGUCUGCUGGGGGUAAUGGAGGCGCUAGGAAGGGUUCAGAGCAAACAGGACUAGCUCUGGGUAUCAGAAAGCUCCUUCUGGGGCCAUGUACAAAAAGACUGCAGGGAGAAGCCAAAACAGAGCAGCAGCAAGGGAAUGGGAUGGUGGGACCGGAUAUGAGGGCUAUUUAAGAAGUACUCACCAAGGGCUAGAAGUCCUACUAAACUCUAGGGUGCAUUUUGUAAGCAUAGGAGCUCCCACAUGAACCCUAUUACAAGAGAAGUCCUUCCUAAACAGACCAAACAGAAAUAAAGAUGUUUGCCACUUAGGCAGAUGGCCAUAGUAAACACAGGACAGUCCUUUGCUGAGGGAGAAAGACACAGUAAGUGUGGAGGGCAGAGCAGGGGUGUUGCUGAGACAGGAGCCCUAGUCAUCAUGGAGGAAGACUCUUGCUGUGGUCUUUGGCCUUGGUAAACUGCAGCCCCUACAUAAACACAAGGGAUCCUUAAUUCUUGUUGAGUAUGGCAGUGGAUCUGUGAAAGGAUCAAGGCUGAUGAUGCAGAAACCUCAUCCCCCAGAGUCGGAAGCUUUCUUCCCCUUAGGGAUUUGAAGCCCAGUCUCAGAAAGAUAGGCUUUCCCAUCUUCCCCCUGUGCGUGCUCUCCCAAGGCUGGGUAAUUGGAGAUUAGUGUCUGGUCUGAAGGGGUAGAAGCAUUGGGUACAGAGAUUCUGGAGGGAAACAGAUUUCUGGAAAGAAGCAGAGACUCUGGAGAGAAGAAGGCUUUGAGAUAAUCUCACUCCUUCAGCCUGUUUAUACAGAGCCUCACCACAUGGCGGGUAGUAGACUAGUCACAGGGGAUUCUGCAGUGACCCUGCAAGACAAGGUCCCGGCCCUCAUGAAGCCUCAGUCCAAGUGAGAGAGAUGUUACUUCAUUCUACAGAUAUUUACUGUGUACCUACUAUGUGCCAGGGCACAGAUCAGAUAAGGAAGGCAAAACCCCCUGCCCUGUCAGAGAUGACACUCAAGUUAUGGGACACAGAAUCCACAAUAAAGCAAGUAAAUAAAACAUGAGGACAUCUGAUGGUAAUAAAUGCCAUAGAGGGGGAAAAAAAGACAAUAAACAAGGCCGCAAACACAUAAAGCAAUUAUAGUUUGGAAUAAGGCAUAAAAAGGAAAACCAACGAGGGGCUGAGAUAGAAACUAGAGGGGAAUGUCUGCUCCAGACAAGGUGAUCAUAGGCAUAAUGGCAGGAAGGGUGUCCCAGGCAAAGGGAACAGCAAAGACAAAGACCCUAAAUUGGGAAGGCAGCUACCAUGCUGAGAAAAAUCAAAGAAGUCCCAAGGAGCUGAGGCACAGUGCAUGAUGGAGUGAUGAGGUUGGAGGGAUGGACAUAAGCUGGACAGAAUGCCUCGGAGGCAUUUGGGUUUUAUUCUAUUUGCAGCGGGGAAUCAUGAUACUGUUUUACAUUUUAGGAACACGUUGGCUGCUGGACUUGGACUUGGCAUGGGGUGCGGAAGGUGGGAACAGGGGUCAAAUGUGGAAGCAGUGAGACUAGUUCGGAUGCUACUGCACCUGUCCAGGGGAGAGAGAAAUGUGGCUUGAAUGGGAGCGAUUACAUGUGCACCAUGCAAGGCCAAUGGGGGGAUUAAGAGCGAUGUGGCACAUGGAAGUACUAGAAAAAUUGCCAACCAAGAGCUGGUCAGGGGCCCAACAAGGCAGACGGGAGGGUCCAUGUGCUCGUCCCGCAAGCAUUCAUCGCUUGCUGGGCUGUCCCAGGGGCUGGGGACCCAGCACAGGACUCCCUGCCCGCAAUGGCUUACGAACAGAUUUGAAGGCAAAGUGGCAUGGCGUCUAACAGCUGGAUGACCCAGGUUCCAAUCCUGGCUAUGCCACUUGCACGAGUGCUUUUUAUCUGAGACCCCAUUCCCUCCCUGUGACAUGGUGCCAGUAAGAGUCUCUAAGCCUCCUAAAGCUGCUGUGGGGAUUCAACGUGAUGAUGUGUGCGAGGUCUUUGGCAACCCGCCUGAUAUUUAUUGUAAGUGAAGACAGAGACAGGCUUUCCCUGGCAACAAGGACUCAGGGGCGUUGAAGAAAGAGGACCCCCUGGUUUUUCAGUCCCCCAACCUCCGUGUGGUCUGAGACUGCCUCCCCCAUUCCCACGGUAGCACCCUGGCCCCUAUCUCCAUCCAGAAAUGCUCCACCUCUGAAGCCACAAACCCCACAUCCCACUCCCUGACCACAGCCUCCCAUGCUUCUAGAGCUGCGGGUGGCCCUGCCACACCUGUUCUUCCACUCAAAGGCACCCUGACCCCCUCAUGCAGCCUCCAACCAAGCCCCUUCUGUCUGCACUUCCUACACCCCACAGUCCACCCCUUUCCCCGCCCCCAGAGUCCUUAACUCCCUUGUUUUAGCAUCCCUCCCACCAUCGCCCAGCCCUACAUGUGCCUGCUCUUUGCUGGAGAAAAACAAAACAAAAUCGUCAGACUGCUCCAAUGAUGCCCCUUUAAAUUGCUGAUCGACAGCUUCACCUGGGCACCUUGUCCGCCACCCUCACCUCCCCCACCCCAUCCGCCCAGGUGCCCCUUGAGGUGAGCUGGCAUCGAUCUCCCCAGAGGAAACAGAAGCCAACCCAAGGGCCCUCCCUCCUCUUCCUGCCACAGGACCCACACCCCACCUGAAACCUCACCCGCCCUUUCCUUCUUCCUUCCUGGAACAAUGGAAGAGGCGUCCUUCCUCCUGUCGGGAGCUAAUCCCACCACUCUGGCGGUUGCACCAUCCGCCCCUUUGUUCUUGGGCAUCUUGUUCCCUGCGGUUGUUAAGAGCUCUCCGCUUGGGUUAAAAUCAUGGAACCAUGGUGCCACCACUCCGCGUUGUGUAAACUUGGGCGGGCGACUUCUCUUCCUCGUCUGUACAUCGAAGAUAAUAAGAGCAUCUUUCUCACGAAACCAUGGGAAGGGUUCGGUGAGUCAGUUGAUGAAAAAUGCACUAAACCGGGGUUGGACACCUAAAUCAGUGUAUAAAUGGAAUUGACCCUCAAAUCGCCUUGGAGGACAACAGAAGAUUCCGGCAGUGGAGCAGAGAUUCCUAUAGUCCUGGAGUUUGUGCACUUCCUCUUGUGCUGACCAGCUCAGUGACCUUGGACCAGCCAGUUCCCCUCCAACUCAGUUUCUCAGUCUGUACAUUGGGGACAAGAUAGUACCUAUCCCAUAGGGUCCACACUCUCCAUGACUCAUUCUGCUCCAGGCAGGCUGGCCUCCUCAUUGGUCCCCAGACACACCUCAGGGCCUUUGCACUGUUGCUCCUUGUGUCUGGGAUAGUAUUCCCCCAGAGGUCCCCGACUACCUUUAGGUCUUUGCCCCAAGGUCACCUCAGUCGGGCCUUCCCUGACCCUACUCCACUCCCUACUUUCUUAUUAUUUUUCAAAGCACCAAUAAAUUGUUAUAUUAUGUGUUGUA